CCUACGGGGGGCAGCAGUGGGGAAUAUUGGACAAUGGGGGCAACCCUGAUCCAGCCAUGCCGCGUGUGUGAAGAAGGCCCUCGGGUUGUAAAGCACUUUCAGUGAGGAAGAACGCCUGGUGGUAAUACCCAUCAGGAAAGACAUCACUCACAGAAGAAGCACCGGCUAACUCCGUGCCAGCAGCCGCGGUAAUACGGAGGGUGCGAGCGUUAAUCGGAAUUACUGGGCGUAAAGCGCGCGUAGGUGGCUUGAUAAGCCGGUUGUGAAAGCCCCGGGCUCAACCUGGGAACGGCAUCCGGAACUGUCAAGCUAGAGUGCAGGAGAGGAAGGUAGAAUUCCCGGUGUAGCGGUGAAAUGCGUAGAGAUCGGGAGGAAUACCAGUGGCGAAGGCGGCCUUCUGGACUGACACUGACACUGAGGUGCGAAAGCGUGGGUAGCAAACAGGAUUAGAUACCCUGGUAGUC
rnacentral:rRNA from 1 species